rnacentral:rRNA from 1 species
UACAGAGGGGGCAAGCGUUAUUCGGAAUUAUUGGGCGUAAAGGGCGCGUAGGCGGCCCUGUAAGUCUUGGGUGAAAUCCCUCAGCUCAACUGAGGAACUGCGUCUGAUACUGGAUGGCUUGGAUCCGGGAGAGGGAUGCGGAAUUCCAGGUGUAGCGGUGAAAUGCGUAGAUAUCUGGAGGAACACCGGUGGCGAAGGCGGCGUCCUGGACCGGUAUUGACGCUGAGGAGCGAAAGCCAGGGGAGCAAACGGG